CGAUACUUGGUGUGAAUUGCAAAUUCAGUGAAUCAUCGAGUCUUUGAACGCACAUUGCGCCCCCUGGUAUUCCGGGGGGCAUGCCUGUCCGAGCGUCAUUUCUGCCCUCAAGCACGGCUUGUGUGUUGGGCCCCGUCCUCCGAUCCCGGGGGACGGGCCCGAAAGGCAGCGGCGGCACCGCGUCCGGUCCUCGAGCGUAUGGGGCUUUGUCACCCGCUCUGUAGGCCCGGCCGGCGCUUGCCGAUCAACCCAAAUUUUUAUCCAGGUUGACCUCGGAUCAGGUAGGGAUACCCGCUGAACUUAAGCAUAUCAAUAAGCGGAGGA
rnacentral:rRNA from 1 species